GUCUGGACCAGAAAAAUAGAAGAUUACCAAAUUUGGCUACUGGGGAGCAUCCAAGAGGGUUUGGCCAAACAGACUAAAUGCCAUCACUCAAAGAUCAGAUUGAAGAAAUAAAGGAGAUUGAGGACAUUAUGGUUGUUGGCUCACUGGCUUCAGAAAGAAACCCUAUAAUGCUAAUGCUUUUACCUGGAAACCUGUAAGAAGAUACAACAGAGGGGGAGAAUCUCAAGGACCUUGAGGACAAGGCCAGGAGUCUGGAAAAAUCAGCAGAGGAAUUUUAUAAAACUGUGAGUGAGGGGAAGUGGCUCAAACUUCACUGAAGUAACUUCCACAUUUGAGGGAGUGUGGGGAAAUUUCCAGAUUAGACAACACUUUUUAACUGUUAAAUGUCUGCUGGGGUGGUUGUUGUCCAAUUGGCUACACUUGAAGAAGUGUAGACAAUGUAGACAUUGCACGGAUGAUCUCAGUUAUUUUGGUUUUCUCUUAGCGGUGACCUCCAAGGUCAACCUCCCUUGGGAGUCUGGAGGAUUCUCUUGUCCAUGACCUCUGAGGUCAACUGCCUUAGAGAGUCUGUAGUACCAGCUUUUCUUUUAAUUACUGUAACUUUCUUUAUGAUGACAGCUCUUUUCUCUUUAUUCUACGUAAUCUAUCAAGAAUGCCCUGUUUAGUCCUAUAAAUAAUGGUAAGACUUUGUCUACGACAGACUUGUUGCUCUCAUGCUUGCCAAGGAUGUUUGUGUGUUUGUAACCUGUCUCCGGCGUCGUGAA